UACGUAGGGUGCGAGCGUUGUCCGGAAUUACUGGGCGUAAAGAGCUCGUAGGUGGUUUGUCGCGUUGUUCGUGAAAACUCACAACUCAAUUGUGGGCGUGCGGGCGAUACGGGCAGACUGGAGUACUGCAGGGGAGACUGGAAUUCCUGGUGUAGCGGUGGAAUGCGCAGAUAUCUGGAGGAACACCGGUGGCGAAGGCGGCAUCCUGGACCAACACUGACGCUGAGGAGCGAAAGCCAGGGGAGCAAACGGG
rnacentral:rRNA from 1 species